GACCCAAUAGUUCAAUGGAUAGAAUAUCAGAUUUCGGCUCUGAUGGUGAGGGUUCGAGUCCUUCUUGGGUCACGA
rnacentral:tRNA from 1 species